ACUACCCACUUCUCCCUGAGCUCGGUAUCGACCAGAGGACCCUGUAUCCAUGAGGCAACAAUGCUACCCAGUGUAUCAGUGUGCCAUCCUAGACAACAAUAUAAACAAAUCAGUGCAAUGGAGAGGCUACAAAUGCAGACUAAAGUACAAAAAACAAGCAAAAAACACGAACAAACAAAAAAACAAAACAAUGAAACUUUAAAUAUAAAAAGUAUUUUACACAAAAUAUUUUAAACAUAAAUGCCAAUUUUUUUAAAUACAAGUUGCAUGUUUUAACAGCUUUCCUGUUGCAUGAGGGUAUUUAGAACAAUAUAUGUAUCUAUAUAACUACAGAACACUUUGACAUUUAAAUAAUUAAAUUCCAAAUAAAAUAUUCAUUCAAUUUCCAGUUCUUUUUCAUAAUUAAGAAACCCAUGUGUGGAUAUGCUUGGAUACCUGCGGGACCGGGACGCGCGUGUUCUCACGCGGGGCGGCGCCACAUCCCAGAGCGCGCGAGCCAUGCAGCGUUCACUCUUCAUAAAUGGAAGCGCGCGUUCACUCACUCUCCCAACUGCUUUAGUUCUGCACUCGGAGCACAAAACAGCGAGACAGCGUGUGAACCAUCAUCCUCUCCCACUCCUGUCCAAUAGCCCAACUGAAGCGCACGGAGCUGGUGCAAUAUGGACACUAACGCGCUUCAGUUUCCUACAGACUGGCACUAAAAUCCACUUAAAAAAAUGCUUUGAGUUUUUUUUUUUAGAAUUAUUAUUUUAUUUUAUUUUUUACAUUUUUUUUUUUUUUUUUUUACAUUGAACGGUAAACUGACAGUUGUGCGUUUGCAGUAAGAGUCGGCGCACUCAGAUGGCGGGGCCACAGCCGGGAGUUCACGCGCUGCAGCUCAAACCCGUGGCCGUACCGGAGAGUUUGAGAAAAGGAAACAAAUUCAUGAAAUGGGAGGAUGACUCCACCACUGUGACUCCUGUGACAUUACGGGUUGACCCCAAAGGCUACUUCUUGUACUGGACUGAUCAGAAUAAGGAGACAGAUCUUCUGGACAUUGCAUAUAUCAAGGAUGCUAGAACUGGGAAAUAUUCCAGGACACCUAAGGAUGCUAAAGUGCGAGAGCAGCUGGGUGUGGCCGGUGUGGUGGGAAAGAUUGAGAACAGAAUGCUGACAGUGGUGUCUGGUCCAGAUAUGGUGAACAUCACCUACCUGAACUUCAUGGCCUUCCAAGAUGAAUUGGCUAAGGAGUGGUCAGACGGGCUCUUCAGCUUGGCCUCCAAUCUCCUGAUCCAAAACAUGUCCCGGGAGUCCUGUCUAGAUAAAUUGUAUACUAGACUAAUACUGCAGCUCACUCCUGAGGGAUCUAUUCCUGUGAAGAACAUCUUCCGUGUGUUUUCGGCAGACAGGAAGCGGGUUGAGAAUGCGCUGGAAAUCUGUGGUCUUCCAUCUGGGAGAAAUGACUUAAUUCCCCAGGAACAGUUCACGCCGGAUAUAUUCAGAGUGUUCCUCAAUAACAUUUGUCCCCGGAAGGACAUCGAUACCAUCUUCUCAGAAAUUGGUGCUAAGAGCAGGCCAUACCUCACAGUAGAUCAGAUGACUGACUUCAUCAACAACAAGCAGCGGGACCCUCGGCUGAACGAGAUCCUGUACCCUCCCCUGAAGCCCGAGCAAGUGCAGGCGUUGGUGGAGAAGUAUGAACCUGACACCAUGCUCUAUAAAAGAGGGCAGAUUUCUGUGGAGGGUUUUGCCAGGUAUCUAAAUGGAGACGAGAACAGCAUCAUCCCUCCUGAGAAAUUGGACCAAAGUGAGGACAUGACACUUCCACUGUCCCAUUACUUCAUCAACUCCUCCCACAACACCUACCUCAUAGCGGGGCAGCUGGCAGGAAAUUCUUCAGUGGAGAUGUACAGGCAGGUGCUGUUGUCAGGCUGCCGCUGUAUAGAGCUGGACUGCUGGAAGGGACGCACAGCUGAAGAGGAGCCCAUUAUCACCCAUGGCUUCACCAUGACCACCGAGAUCUCUUUUAAGGAAGUGAUUGAGGCCAUUGCUGAGAGUGCUUUCAAGACAACUCCUUUUCCUGUCAUCCUUUCAUUUGAGAACCAUGUGGACUCCCCCAAGCAGCAAGCUAAGAUGGCUGAGUACUGCAGAUCAAUAUUUGGAGACGCUCUGCUUACAGAGCCACUGGAGAAAUAUGCACUGGAAGCAGGAAGUCCUCUGCCCAGUCCCAUGGACCUCUUGGGGAAAAUUCUCAUCAAGAACAAGAAGAAUUCCCACAAGGAUGAGGGCAGCACAAAGAAGAAGCUCUGUGAGCAGACCUCUAAUACCUACAGCGAUACGUCCAGCGUGUGUGAGCCGUCCUCUCCAAGCGCGGGCUCCACAAACCACGACAUGCAGGACUCCAGUCAGCCAAGCUCAGAGACGGGCAGUGACAGCAGGCUACAGGGGAGAAAAUAUAUUGGUGAGGUUGAUGCAGAAAGCGAGGAUGAAGAUGAUGAAGAUGACGAUUGUAAAAAGUCCAUGGAUGAGGGGACAGCAGGAAGUGAAGCAUUUGCCACCGAGGAGAUGUCCAACUUAGUCAACUAUGUCCAGCCGGUCAAGUUCACCUCAUUUGAAGCGUCUAAAAAGACAAAUAAAAGUUAUCACAUGUCAUCGUUUGUGGAGACAAAGGCACUAGAACAGCUGACAAAGUCUCCUGUGGAAUUUGUGGAGUAUAACAAACUCCAGCUUAGCCGAAUCUACCCCAAAGGCACUAGGGUGGACUCCUCCAACUACAUGCCUCAGGUGUUCUGGAACGCUGGAUGUCAGCUUGUGGCACUGAACUUCCAGACAAUAGAUCUGGCCAUGCAGCUGAACCUGGGCAUGUUUGAGUACAAUGGAAAAUGUGGCUACAGGCUGAAGCCUGAGUUUAUGAGGAGGCCUGAUAAACACUUUGACCCCUUCACUGAGAGCACAGUGGAUGGGAUUGUCGCACACACAAUUUCAGUGAAGAUCAUAUCAGGACAGUUCCUGUCCGAUAAAAAGGUUGGCACCUAUGUGGAGGUGGAAAUGUUUGGCCUCCCGGUCGACACUAAAAGGAAAGCAUUUCGGACAAAGACGUCCCCAGGCAACGCCGUGAACCCUGUAUGGGAUGAGGAGCCCAUAGUCUUUAAGAAGGUGGUUCUUCCCACUCUUGCGUCUUUGAGAAUAGCCGUGUACGAGGACAACGGGAAGUUUAUCGGCCAUCGCAUCAUCCCGGUGAACGCCAUCCGUCCUGGUUACCAUUACAUAGGGCUAAGGAAUGAGAAGAACCAAACACUAACACUACCUGCUGUUUUUGUCUACACCGAAGUCAAAGACUAUGUCCCUGACACCUUCGCAGAUGUGAUUGAGGCACUGUCCAAUCCUAUCCGCUACAUCAACCUGAUGGAGCAGAGAGCCAAUCAGCUUGCAGCUCUCACCCAGGAGGAGGGAGGACAAGAGGUGAACAGCAAAGAGAUAGACGCGUGCGGGGAGCCUGUAUCAGAGUCGAACAGCGAGGCCCAACGCCCUCCAGCCGAGAAUGGAACGAGCCAUACUCCUCUCAUCUCCCCCAAACCGCCUUCAUUGGUCAGCCAUCAUGCCCACUCCACAGGAUCUGUGAAACCAACUGUUAGGACUGAAGAUGUGAUUCAGAGUGUUUUGACAGAACUGGAAGCUCAGACACUGGAGGAACUGAAGCAGCAGAAGGCUUUUGUACGGGAGCAGAAGAAACAGUAUAAAGAGCUGAAGGAGCUGGUCAAGAAGCACCAUAAGAAAACCACAGACAUGAUCAAAGAGCACACAGCCAGACAAAGUGAGCUGCAGAGCGAAUAUCAGCGCCGGAUGUCUGCCCUGCAAAAGAGCGCCAAACGAGACGGUAAGAAAAGAUCAGGUUCGGAGCACACUCUGUCUGCUGUGGAUCAGGAGCUGGCCGCUCUGGAGGAGGAGAACACGCAGAGACUGAGCGAGCUGAAGGAGCAACAGCAACAUCAGUUGCUCACUCUCAGACAAGACCAGUACUACAGUGAACAGUACCUCAAAGGCAAACACAUCAAACAGCUGGUGGAGAAGCUGACCACUGUAGCUGAAGAAUGUCAAAGUAACCAGCUGAAGAAACUUAAGGAGCUUUGUGAGAAAGAAAAGAAAGAUUUGAAGAAGAGGAUGGACAAGAAGAGGCAGGAGAGGAUACAUGAGGCGAAAUCAAAAGAGAAGAAUCUAACAGAGGAAGAGAAGUUGGAAAUCAACAGGUCACAUGUGAACGAGGUUGUACAGUAUAUCAAACGGCUGGAAGACGCUCAAAGCAAAAGGCACGAGAAGCUGACCGAGGCACACAAACUCAUUCGGCAGCAAAUCCUGGAGGAGAAGCCGAAGGAUGACUGUUUGCAAGAUGGAGAAGGUAAGUCGCUUUGCAUCCAAGCAUAUAAUAAAUCAAAGCUCUAAUCCUACCAAAUCCUGCACUGCUUCCUAGACUCGGUAUGAGUGGACGUUUCUGUUCGCUGUAAGUAAACAUAAUGCCAAUUCCACCUCUUAACAUCUACCAGCAGUAUAACAUUAACCCAGUGAUAAAAACUCGGCUCUGUUAGAAAGCCAUUCUCUAAAAUGCUUGGCUGUGGCACAUCUGGAACAACCCCUGGGUGCUGUCAUUAUUUGGGCGGUGUGUGUGUGGUGCUGGUGUGUAUGUGUGUUGGGUUGGGUUGCACUGGGUUAUAUACUGUAAACAUCCUGUAACAUACUAACAUACAGGCAUAUUUAGAUUAUGUAUAUUUAGAUUUUGUAACAUUCUGCAAGACCCGUAUUUGUACACAGUUGAAUUUAACCUUUAAUGUGUCUUCUUUUUUUUUUAUCUAUUUGUUCCCUGACCGUAACAUUAUUGACUAACCAAAGAAAGGUGAGUUUUGUGAUGUCCUAUGCUCCUGCUGACUAAAUGACUUCUCCAUCGCUAGUCUUGGAUGGAUUAUGGAAAGUCAUUUUUGUGUUUUGCUUCAUGGAGCAUUUAUCGUUAGGCUGCCAUGCUGUCCAUUGUUUAAUUUAAUACAUGAUACAUAUUAUGUAAGAAUGCUAAUUUCAUGCAGACACAGCCAUGAUUUAGUUGUAUUACUCGGGCAUAUUGCUAAUUUGGUUACGCAUAUGUGAACUUUGGGUACACUUUGUAUGAAGCCCAUAUUCAUAAAUAAUUUUACCUGUGCUUAUAAUUCCUUCUAAGCAUUGAUAAAUUCUAAAAAAAAUAAAAAAAUAAAAAAAAAAAAUAAAAAGACACACAAAGCUCUAAUUAUGUUAGUAUCAUGUAACACACAUGUCACCAUUCACUAUAAUGCCAUGUGAUUUAUAAAAGAAAUAAUGACCCAUGAAUAAUUUUAAAGCAACUCUAUCAUUUAUUAAGAAUGAUAAAACUUUAUAAACGCCAUAAUUGAGUGCGUCGAGUAAAGAAUAUAUUAAACUAUUAAUUGCAUGUAACUUGUAAGACACUAUUUAAACGUUUUAUAUAUAACUUAAUUUUGUAUUGAAAUAUGGAAAUGCUUCCUUUCAGAUUAAUUAUAAAAAUGGUAAGGGACUGGAACAAAAAAAUAGGUUAUUAUUACUUAUAAAGGUGAUGGAAUACAGCAGUUUUCAAGAUUGUCAAUAAGAAUAUUGAAUAAAAAUAUACAAACUAGUGUGAAGAGAUAGGGGGCAUGGUGGCUUAGUGGUUAGUGCGUUUCCCUCACAUACAAUUUACAUUUUGUAGUAAUUUUCACAAUUUAAAUGAGCAAAAAAAAAAACAGAUCAGUUACAUGGAAAAAGUAAGUACACUCCUACAUUUAUCACACCUUCAAAUCCAUAAAAUUAGAAUCAGGUGUUGAAGAUUGGGUGCCAGUGAUUAGAACCUGCUUAGGGAGUGCAGGUGGAACCGGUCUUAUUUAUUCUCUCUCAUAUCUAGAGUCUGGUGUUCCCUUUGCUAUUGAGGUGUGUGGUGUCAUCAUGCCGAGAUCUUUUUUUCCAAGAUUUUUUGUUUGUUUGUUGUUGUUUUUUUGAAAUGAUUGUGGUUUGAAAUGAUUGAAUUUUUUUUCCCUGUGGUAUCGUUCAAGUAUAUCAGCUUUAUUAAUAGGCAUUGUUUCAAAGAUGAUCAAAUGUUUGCUUGUCCAAAUAUGUCAAAAAAGCCAACAAUUUCCAUGGGGUGUACUUAUUUUUUCCACAUGAUUGUAAAUAACAGUGAGGGUGAAAGAAAAUAUAAUCAAAUAAGUCUUGGUCAUAUUUACAUAAGGUGAGGUUUUAUACAACUUAACACUACUGUAUAAAUAAAUAACGUGUUGAUGUGUGAAAUAGGGUAUAGUCAGGUAUAAGACUUACAUAGUCCUAUAAGUACAAUUAUGAUGAAUGAAUAUGGGCUUCACAGAAAGUGUUACCAUAAUUUCUUCUUCUUUUCAUCCUGUUGCUAUUUUUGUGGACACAAAUGAAAGUAUUUGUGUUAAACGAGGUGGAGCAUUCACAAACAAGAGGUGUGGCAUUUGAAAUCUGCCAUCACAGUUGCAUUUUCCAACCCACUUUGUUCUAAAAUUGAGCUUGUCAGUACUCUGUGCCAAAGAUAUAAAUAGGCUACUUUACCCAGCUACUAACAAAAUACAAAUGAUUCAGUUAUAUGACACAGUUGAUGUGUUAUUACGUACUGCACAUCGUGUAAUUAACACACACAACAGAAUGUCUAACAAAAUGAAUUCAUACUAGACUUCUCAAACGUAGGUAUGUCAUAAUAAGUACAAGAAAUGAUCUAAACACUGAAUAUAUCAACACUGAAUUAGACUGUCACAUAAGAGUGAACACCUACUAACGAACACAGGAAGACAGAAUACAUUUGUUGUGUGUUGGGACAGCCAGCUGGUCGUUUCCACCACAGAAAAUAUUCAUAUUGAAUCCAGAUUCAUCAUGUCAUUAAACUGUCACUGCACUGAACAAACGGCACACUGUUUUUAAGAGAUUUGUUUGCAUGUUGCAGUAGCAUGUCUGACCACACCUCUUGGUAAGAUAUUCCUUCAAAUCCAAACGAUUUUUAGAAUUCUGUUGCUCUCCACCAGGUUACCACCUGCUCCAGAGUUCAUGAAAAUACCAAUAAUAUGUCAGCCAAACUUACAUGCACUGAUGCCAAUAUUGUUUGCUUAAAGUGUCAUGAAAAUAGGAAUUCAUUCCGAGUUAGGUUUUCUUUGGCUCAGCAUGAGCUGGAGUGUUUCAGUGUCUAGUGCUUUUUGCACCACACUCUACUCUAAAGGAAGCGAUAAGGGCCAGUAGUUACAUCAAUAGGCUCAAGAGGGCACUACAACACAGCUUUGGUGCUAACGCUUUCCUUCCUCUUGUACUGUAUGUAUCAAUAGGGUUCAUGUAGGCCAGCAGAGUCUAGUUACUAGUAAUAGUCUAGUUACUGCUAAUUUACUAGACAGUCUUGAUUCCUCAUCUUGUAAUCUAAUGUGCAAAUGUAUUAUUCACAGUCAGUCAGUUUAUUAGUAUCUUUUAUUCAUCAGCAGCUUGUAACCAUAGAUUUUGGUGUGGCUAAAUGACAUAACCUCAAACAAAUAUAAGCAGAGAGGCUAUCAGAGUUGACUUAUCCUAUAGAGUACUAUCUAGGGAUUUUUAGAGUAACCCCAUAAUAGGAAAUUGAGAGUGGAAAAUAAUAUAAUCAUCCAGCAUACAGCCUUUAGCAGCUUGUUUUGAAUGAUUAUAAAUCGUACAUUUGUUCAACUGUGUUUGAUACAGCAGGUGUGUUUCUCGUUGCCAUGUCACAGUGAGUAAGGUGGAUGCAGACAUAAUAUAAUUACCUAGGGUUCCCAGGUGUAAAUAAAUCUCCAGCACAUGUUCAUCUAAAAAAACACACAAAAUACCUGAAACUAUCCGGGGAUUGAACAAAGGAGACUCAAGGUCACCAUGGUGCACACAGAUUUCUGAUGUACGAACAUUAUCCACUCUAUAAUUCCCCUUGUGCUCUCCCAGUGUUUGCAAUAUGUUACGAUAGAAAUGGUUCUGUACAUCACAGGCACACUUUCUGCAUUUACACGUUGCCUUUGUUUGCAGAAAUGUAUUAGAUUGAAUUCUGGUUAUUUGCUAUAAAACACGCUGUCAUUACAUGUCUUGUCUGCUGCUCCACCUCAACUAAAAAUGUUCAUAGAGUGAGCAUGGGGCAGCGUGAUUCCUGGCACACUGGGCCUCAUUUAGUGCUUGUUGCAGUUCCCAUUUCUGACCACUAGGUGUAAAUUCUGUUGAGCUAAAUGGGACAGUGAGCACCCUAAAAGACAGCAAAUCAAUGGAACAUCAGCUUAUAUCUGUCACUUAGCAAUGUUUUUAGACCAUUGUUCACUCAAAAGAGGUAAUUAUUGUUACAAUAGUAUUUAAAUUUAAAUGUACUGAGUUGUGAAUGAGGAUUUAACAUUUGAAGAUUAACAUUUGUUGAAUGGCUGAUACACACACUAUGGAUGAUCUGCUAUUGCUUUAAAUUUUUAUUUAUUUAUUUUUAAUCUAGUGGUGGUUUUGCUUUUAUGAUGAUGACACAGGUAAGGUCCUAUGCACAGUUUAUAAACUUCACAAAUAUCUUUAUCGAAUACUUCAGAGAGGAAAACAUAUCUUCAAAACCAAAAGCAGGUCAGACAAAUUCAGCUGUUUAUUUGUGGUUGUACCCCACAUCAGCAGGCAGAAACAGGAGGGAGUAAAAUUAACCAGGGCAAAGCUAAUAUCCAAAGAGAGAGAGAGAGAGAGAGAGAGAGAGAGAGAGAAGUAGUCCCGACCCAUUUUCACGCCUCAGAGCAGCCACUAAUGGGCAGCUAUAACCAUCCCUGGGUCUUUGGAGACCUGCUGGAGAACGGUCUCUGGACUCUGCUUGCCUUGAGCUCACCAAGGAAAGCAGAUAAGAGAGAGAGAGAGAGAAAGAGAGAGAGAGAGAGGAAGAGGUUGGGGGUGCAGGUUGUGGGGAGGGGGGCUACAGUGAGACUGCACACUACAAAUUACUAUCCAUAGCAAUGGCUUUUAAUAAUAAUAAUUAAUAAUUAUAAUAAUAAUGCCUUAGAGUUAUAUAGCACUUUUCUAGGCACUCAAAGCGCUUUACAUUAUAUGGGGGGAAAUCUCCUUAACCACCUUUUAAAUAUCUUCUAAAGCAUUUUACAGAUCAAUUAUAUGUUCCUGUUUGAAUCUCUACACCCGUUAUCACACCUUUAACUGUGGUGUUGCGGGUUUCGCGCAGUGCCCGACAGAGUGAGAGAGGAGGAGGAAUGGGGAAUGGCAGAUGAACGUUGUCGGACCUCAGCGUGUGUGCACACAGGUGACAGUGUCCUGCUAACGUUCCAAUCAAAAUGGCCACCAGGGCUUCCAGCUGCACAGCAUGUGGUCUAAACUAAUGAGCAAUGACCUUCAGCGGCACUUGUGUGAAAGUGACAAGGGCAGGUUGCGACAAGCUGAGCGUUUUGAUCCUCAUUAAAACAAGACAGUUCAAAUUCCAAGCAAAUUAAUCUGAGCUCAGAGUUUAGUUCAAUCUGAUCUGAUCUCUUUAAUGGUAAUCUGGAGUGCUGACAUUUAAUUUGCUAUGAUUUUACAAAACUUGACUUCCUAAUGAACAUUAUUGGGAUAUUUGACUAAUACGUUUUGCACAACACUCCAGAUUUGCUACUAAUAUUAAAUAAAAUCUGAUUUAUUUUAAAUAAUAUAACCUUAGGAUUUUUUUCUUUUUCUUGAAUUACAUAAAGUAAGUUGUCUGUGCUGGUUUGUUGGUUUGUUUAAUGGACAGUUCAAGUGACUCUGUAAUAGAGCUUCUGGGUGUGAUAUGUCACCCCAAGAGUAGUUUAUCAACCAUGCCUCUUUUUUAAUGUCAUGGUAUACUCAGCCCUAUUCUGUGAAUCAGAGGCCAGAUACAAAUGCAAAACCUGAUACAAAAUGGUUGUGCAUCUUCACACACAGCAGCUCUGUGCCAUCUCCAUGGCAACACUCAUCCUGGCCCUGAACCCUUCUUCACUCAACAGCUUGGCUUCUAGGGCAAGACACCACACUACCUGACCCAAGUUGGAGAUAGAGGCCAGAGCAUGUAGACAGCCCCUACACGCACAGAUAGAGAUAAUUAAUUCCAGCAUACAAAUACAGAAAUAUAUACAGGAAAAUACAUAAACACCUAAAGAGGCAUACAACCUAACAAACAUAGAUACACCACGAAACGCAAACAGAGAGUCCAGACAGAUAUAGUCUAGUACACUGAGUCAGCUCAAUACAGAAAAUUCAGAAAAUCACAUAGUUCCAAGCGUACAUAAACAGCCCAGUACAGAUACUCCAGCACAGAGGUUAGGGCUGAAUUACUUUAAAAUGGUUUCAAAUACCUAUACAGUAUAGUAUAGGAGUGUAUUUCAAUACUAAUUAACAUAUAAUCACACACACAGUGAAUAUUAGCAAUAAUGCUAUUGCUAACAAAAACCAGGGAAGGUGAACAGCAAACAAAUUACAAGGAAGUAGCGUUGUAAUUUUAUCAAAAUCCUUUAUUGGUUCAGGGUUUUUACCUGUUUACCCAUAUUUAUACAGGUUACUGAGGAAAUCGAUCAUAUCUUUUUCUUGUUUGAAGAAGAAAAUUUUCUUCUUGUUUAUCAGAUUCUCUUAUCUAGAGCCACAUAGAAAACUUUCAGUUAACAAACAGUUUAAGGAUCAGCAUUCUAAUGAAUCUUCAAUGAUGCAUAACCUGAAUGAAAGCAAGUUUGUACAAGUGCUAGAGUGGUGUAGGUGAUUACAAAUAUACAAUUUCAACCUAAGGGCAUAAACAGUACAAAAACAAGUCAGUAACAAAGACUUUUUGAACUUAAGUGCAAAAAUAACGAUCCAAAUCAAUAAAAAAUUAAGAAGUAAUUCAAAAGGGAUUCAGUACAAAGUAAGCACAGAGAAAAUAAGGCGUUUUCUUAGAUACUGUCUGAAGAUGUUAGUCUUUAGACAUUUGCGGAAGGAAUAGACACAUGGGGCACUGUGGAGUGGAGACGGAUGCUUGUUACACCACCGAGGUUCACUGAGAUUUUGCACUGUUAGCAUGUUCUGACCUCAGAGAAGGGCAUGCCAGGACAUGUUAAACCCCAUAUAACCCAAUUAAGUCCAGUGGCUUCCUGUCCAAUAAAUACCAUAAGAACACUACAUGGGGUAUAAAAUAAUGGCAUUGCAGUACCUACAUAAUCAAGUGCCUGUUCGAAAUAUACAACAUGUAAUAUCACUGUUCACUUUGGUUUUUAUACCCAAUAAUAAAAAUGUUAUCUUAUUGUUUUAAAAAGGAUAAUGUGCUCCGUGAAUGAUGUGCGAUAUUUAGAGCCCCUUUCCUACAUCAGGAGACAUAUGGGGUCAUUUGACCAGCAAGCUUAGAAUAUACAGACUUAUGUGAGGUGAUUAAAAGUAGAAUGUGGAAAUGUAUUUAUUUAUUAUAUUUUCAUUUUUAUUUUUAUCUUUAAAAUCCAGCUGUGGUUCAGUUAAGCACUAAAUAUGGCCUAACAUUGUAGUAUAGAUACACCGCAACAAAUAGAGAUGGAUUUUUAUUUUUUUUUUUUUUUUGGAAAAAAUGAGUUAAAGCUAUAAAUUAAAUAUGACCUUUAGUAUACAGUGAGGUCCAAAAGUCUGAGACCGCGAAUGCUUCUGUUUGGCACUCAUUACAAAGGAUUUUGUCAGCAACAACUUAAGUGCAAAGUGUAAUCUUUUCAUAAAUAUUUACAUAAAUGUCAGAGUUUGUUAGUACGUGGUAUGUCCCCUUUUUGACUUAAUGACGGUGUGCACUCGAGCUGACACAGACUCCACAAGUUUGUGUAAAACCCAAUGAUCCAUGUUAGAUCAAAUCCAUCAGUGUGUCAUCUGAACAUGUGCUGCAAAGGGAAAGGAUAAGACUCGGGGAAAAUCUGACCUUUGUACAAAGGAUUUACAGUGACACAAAUUUGCUUAAAUUUAAAUAGUGACCUAGAAAUUACGCAACAUCCUGAAUACUAAAUAGCCAAGAUGAUGCACAUUUCCUUUUUAUUUAUUUAUUUAUUUAUUUAUUUAGAAUUGUCAAAAUUCUAAAACUUUCUGUUUAUUUGCAGUUUUUUUUUUCUCAGAUUUUCAAGAUAGUCUCAGACUCUUUGACCCCACUGUAUGUCAAUAUGUGUAAGGAGGUCUACACCAAGACUUUUACUGUCCAAAAAUGUGUAGCUCAAUAUCUCAAAAUCACAGAAUUGUCAGAUAACCUUAUAAUUCAAGAUCUUGAAAUAAUGCCAGUACAUAGCUAUAACUACAUAUAUGGAUUAAUACACAGAUAUCGCCUAAUAUAGUUAUGGAGAUAUGAGAUCUCCCAAAAAUGGAAGAAUAAGGGGGGUGGGUGGCUUUUUAUGGCUUGACAGUAGAAAGGGAGACAGAUGGAGUGUUCUGUCUCUGGACAGACAAUGACACAGAACAGCUUGUGACCCCUUGCGUCUGGUUCUGCAUCCAGAAACAGAAAUAUAAAGACUGGCACACUCUUCAUAUGAUUUCCAUAGGUCUCACAGAGUUCAUGGCCAGCAGCUAAAGUCCUCUGUACUGCCUUGGCCAUGCUUCUCCUCAGUAGUGCUCCCCAGGCUUGUUUCAUGUGAGCUGGUUAGCAUUAAUAAUGCACACGACCUGCCUUCCUCCUCACACUGGGGGAACCGCUGUCAUUCGAUAGAUACCAGUGGUACCUACACCCCUGUUCCAACCAUGAUUGGCAUUCCCACAGAGGAAAGAAGGCUCUGGAAAUACUUUGCUUUCAUUCCAUUGCUUGUGAGGAGAGCAGUCAAUCCCUUCCUUUUGUAGAGAGGAUUUCCUUCCACGGCUCAAGUGGUUAUUUAUUUGAAAGGCAGGGGGAACUGACAGAGGGAUUCAGACUGAGAUACCUUCAUCUGCAGCUUUUUUCCCCCCAUUUAUAUUUAUAUCAUAGACUCUUACAUUGUGCCCUAGUCUUAUGUUGGAUGUCCGUAAAUAGUGCCAUUCCAAUAUAAAGUACUUGGAUUUAUAUGAGCAACUCCUUCUGCGGUGUUGGGAUUGGUAAAAGCCAAGAAGUGAGAGAAAGCAAAAAGGCAUGAAGGCUGUUCAUUUAGAAGCAAAUAAUAGACCAUUUGCAUACAUAUCAUCACUUCUAUCCAGACUGCUUACAGAUGCAGCUUAUUUGCAUAGCAAUAGCUAUGAAUGUGGUUGGAUUUGAGGUUUAGUUGCCAGAUCUUAAUGACUGUCUUGAAACUUUGAAGUGCACCAUUUAGGAAUGACAGGAAAAUAACAAGUUUGUUUUUUUUUUUGUUCGUUUGUUUUUUUCAUUUAAGAUCAGAAAUGUUUGGGAAUCAUGUUACUACACUAUAUGGCCAAAAGUAUGUGGAUACCUGACAAUCAAACCUUUAUGUGCAUUAGUGCCCCUUUGCUGUUAUAAUAACCUCCACUCUUCUGUGAAGGCUUUCCACUAGUUUUUGGAAUGUGUCUGUGUGGAUUUGCCCAUUUAGCCACAAGAGCAUUAGUGAGUUCAGGAACUGAUGUCAGGUGAGGAGGUCUGGGGCGCAGUCGACGUUUCAGUUCAUCCCCAAGGUGUUCAGUGGGGUUGAGGUCAGGGCUCUGUGCAGGCCACUCGAGUUCUUCCAAACCAGCCUUGGUAUAUCAUGUCUUCAUUGACUUCGCUUUGUGCACAGGGGCACUGUCAUGCUGGAACAUGUUUGGAUCCCUUAGUUCCAGUGAAGGGAAUUCCUAGUGCUAGUGCGUACAAAGACUUUCUUGACAACUGCAUGCUUCUACAGUACCUUUGUGACAAUGAUGACAAUGAUGAUGAGGUCUCCACAUACUUUUGGCAAUAUAGUGAGUAUUGCCAUUUGAUGCUGACCACUGACUGGCAUCUUUAUAUUUCUUAUAGGCUACCAGUAAUCCAUAUAAAAAAUAACAUCAGCAAGUUUUUUAAGGCCUUCCAACACUUAGUCAGGCCAAAUCCGAAAUUACUUUCUAUUCUUGUAUAUAGUAGUCACUACAUAAGGAAUUACCUAAUGGCUUUGUUGAACCUAUGUAGUGCAAUAAAAUAAUGGCAUUUGAGAUUCAGCCACAGAAAAACAGCUUCUAGUAGAGUUGUGGUUAAACUGUUUUAACACUGUUUGGACUCAUACUGAUGUAAUAUCACUGUAAUAUCAAACAAUAUCACUGUUUGGAUAAUUUAAUCAUAAUAAAAAGUGAAAAUAAAGUAUUUUAUAAAUGAAAUACAGUUAUUUAACCAGUGCAAUUAGGAAAUGU